GUUCUGAUCUGGACUCAGACGCCCAGCCAUACGCCCUGGCACUCUUCCCCGAUGCCAGGUCGGGAUGGAUGGGGAUCUGGGACCAGAUCGGUCCGAAC
rfam:Mycetocola reblochoni REB411 genome assembly, contig: Scaffold3